CGCUGGCGGCGUGCCUAAUACAUGCAAGUCGAACGAGAUCCCGGAGCUUGCUCCGGGGGAAAGUGGCGAACGGGUGAGUAACACGUGAGAAACCUGCCCUAGAGACCGGGACAACCGUUGGAAACGGCGGCUAAUACCGGAUGCCUUCACACGGUCGCAUGGCCGAGUGAAGAAAUGCUCAGGUGCUCUAGGAGGGUCUCGCGGCCUAUCAGCUAGUUGGUGAGGUAACGGCUCACCAAGGCAUCGACGGGUAGCUGGUCUGAGAGGACGAUCAGCCACACUGGGACUGAGACACGGCCCAGACUCCUACGGGAGGCAGCAGUAGGGAAUCUUGCGCAAUGGGGGCAACCCUGACGCAGCAACGCCGCGUGUGGGAUGACGGCUUUCGGGUUGUAAACCACUUUCAGUGAUGACGAAAAUGACGGUAAUCACAGAAGAAGGUCCGGCCAACUACGUGCCAGCAGCCGCGGUAACACGUAGGGACCGAGCGUUGUCCGGAUUUAUUGGGCGUAAAGAGCUCGUAGGCGGUUCUGUAAGUCGGAUGUGAAAACUCAGGGCUCAACCCUGAGACGCCAUCUGAUACUGCAGUGACUAGAGUCCGGUAGAGGAAGAUGGAAUUCCUGGUGUAGCGGUGGAAUGCGCAGAUAUCAGGAGGAACACCAACGGCGAAGGCAGUCUUCUGGGCCGGCACUGACGCUGAGGAGCGAAAGCAUGGGGAGCAAACAGGAUUAGAUACCCUGGUAGUCCAUGCCGUAAACGUUGGGCACUAGGUGUGGGGUCUUCUAACGGAUUCCGUGCCGUAGCUAACGCAUUAAGUGCCCCGC
rnacentral:rRNA from 1 species